rnacentral:rRNA from 1 species
AUUGAACGCUGGCGGCGUGCUUAACACAUGCAAGUCGAACGAGUGGCGGACGGGUGAGUAAUGCUUGGGAAUCUGGCUUAUGGAUGGGGAUAACGACGGGAAACUGUAGCUACUACGGCGAACCAGAGGAUGAGCACAAGUGGGAUUAGGUAGUUGGUGGGGUAAUGGACUACCAAUCAGACGAUCUAUAGCUGAUCUGAGAGGAUGAAGAGCCACACUGGGACUGAGACACGGCCCGUAAUCCUCCGGGAGGCAGCAGUAGGGAAUAUUGCGCAAUGGGCGUAAGCUGACGCAGCAACGCCGCUUGAAUGAAGAAGGCCUUCGGGUCGUAAAGUUCUUUCUUUGACGAGGCGUUACUCACAGAAGAAGCACCUGCUAACGCCGUGCCAGCAGCCGCGGUAAUUC